rnacentral:lncRNA from 1 species
CUUAACAAUUUUUAUGACUGACGGAUCCGGUUUAAAUGUAAAAUUCACCCAUCUUCCACCUCUGGCUAUAAUCCACGCUCAGGAAUUAGCAUUUUACCAGAAAGCCAAUUGUGAUACCUUUCGGACACACUAGCACUUGUGAAUCUCUUUUUGUCAAACUUUGUUGAAGUGAGGAAAGGAAGUAUGAGUUUCACGUGGUGUACGAAGAGAAAAGAGAGGAGUUUUAGAUGAACUAGGAGAGAAAAUAGAAUUUGAUUUGGGUUGAAAGGAGUUAUGCCCGAUUAAGGCUUAAUUUUUUUUUAAAGUCUGGGCAGGUGCGCCUAGGCGCUUGAUUUUGUAUGGGAUUGGCCACCUAAGCGCUUGAAGACAGAACGUGUUGGUCCGGUAUAGCGAUUAAGCGCCUGGAAUGGGCAUGGAGUGAGUGCUUUGACGCUUGGGGAUUGCUGAGUGUUCUGCAUUUGAACGCCUAGGCGCUUGUGCCUGACUUGGUGGAUUAUGUGCAUCUUCCAUGCUUCAAAUCUGCAUAUCAAAGCUUCAAUUCUCAGUUUUUAGAUUACGAGUUAUACUAAAACCCUAAACUAAGAUAAAAUAUGAUUAAUUUCUUUUAUUUUAGUAUGUUAGUUUAGUUAACUCUAUAUUUUAUCUUAGUUUAGGGUUUGAGUAUAAGUUGUAAUCUCCUUGCAAACAAAAACUUAGAAUUGAAGCUUUGAUAUGUAGGUUGGAAGCAUGGAAGACACACAAAUUGAGAAUUGAAGCUUUGAUAUGUAGGUUGGAAACAUGGAAGACGUACAAAAUCCACCAAGUCAGUCCCAAGCGCUUAGGCGCCCAAACCAUGCACAAAACAAGCGACUAGGCGCUCAAAUGCAAAACACUCAACAUUCCCCAAACGCCUUGGCGCUACACCUGACUAACACAUUCUGUCUUCAAGCGCUUAGGCGGUCAAUCCCAUUCAAAAUCAAGCGCCAAGCUCCUGCUAAGACUUUGAAAAAAAAAUUAAACCCUAAUCGGGAAUCACUCCUUUCAACCCAAAUCGAACUAUUUUCUCUCCUAGUUCAUCUAUAACUCCUCUAUUUUCUCUUCCUACACCACGUGAAACUCAUACUUCCCUUUCCUCAUUGUUAGUGCAUCCGAAAGGUAUCAGAAUUGGCUUUCUGGUAAAACGCUAAUUCCUGAGCGUGGAUUAUUGCCAGAGGCAGAAGAUUGGGAGUUACUACAAAUGAUUGAAAACAGAAGAUGGGUAAAUUUUACAGCUCAACCGGAUCCGUCGGUCAUAAAAAUUGUUAAGGAAUUCUACGCCAAUGCAAAAGAUGUUGUCAGUAACAUGGUUUGGGUUCGCGGAAAAUUAGUGGAGGUCAGUUUCACGACAAUAAAUGCUUACUACGGCUUGGACAGAAUACCUAGAAAUGGCUACAUGCAAUAUCUAGAGCACGAGCUGGAUUAUAGUGAGGUCAUUCAAGCAUUGUGAGUACCCGGAACAAAAUGGAAAUUAACAGAUCAGCAAAAAACAGCUUUUUCCUACAUCCGCACUAAGUAACGGGAAAGCAUGACAUGGCUUUAUUUGUGCCAAGUUGAUGUCGUGUAGGCAUAUGAGUGAUGUCAUAAAUCAACGGGCAGCGUUGCUUUUCGCCAUUGUAAAAGGAAAAACUAUAGAUGUGGGUCAGGCUAUACAUGAUUCAAUCGACAGAGCAAUUCAAGGAGGGACUUUAGGUGUAUGCCUCAUCCAUCUUUGAUUAUUGGACUAUGUCAACAAGUUGGAGUAAAGUGGGAAGGCAAGGAAGCUAGACAACCUCCUUUAGCCCCAAUUGACAUUUCGGUUAUAAAAAAAGUACAAGGUAUGUGUUGGGGGUAAACCACACCCGAGAGGAUUAGGUUUCAUUAUUGUGCCUCCAGAUCCUGUUGACGAGCCUAAUGAACAGUCAAAUGACAAUCCUACUGCAGUUGAGAGUUACGUGCCAACACCAAAUUUUUUGAGGAUAUUCGUCGAGAAUUGAGACAUCAAACUAGACGGAUUGACAUGGUGGCUACCCAAAUUCAACAGGGUUUUGACCGGGUGGAUAGGAAGCAGAAUAGACUGGCUCAGCGACAAGUGGAAAUAUAUCAGAACUGUAAUGCAUCAUUCAUAGAUAUGUUCAACCGCAUGUAUCCAGCAGGCGUUCCUUACCAAUUCCGACCAGCUUCAUCCUUGUCUGUGUACCCUCGACUGACUUAUCCCCUGUGAGGAUAAGGUUGAUGAAGAAGAAGUAGAGGAUGUUGACAAGGAGUAAGGCUUCGAUCUUUCAGGGAAGUCUUCAGUACCUAAUUUCUUAUGUUUUUUUUAUAUACAAUGAGGACAUUGCAUAUGUUAAGUUUGGGGGUGCAUUCUUUUAGUUGUAUUGCAAUCAUUUAGUUGCAUUUAUUUAGUAUUUGCAUUCGUUUAUCAUAACUCAUUCAUCUUGUAGUUUUGCAUGUAAUUGUCAUUCUAAUUUCUAAAAAAAUGCAUGAAUCCGAGCAUGUCAAUUAGUACGAGUUUGACUUGGCCAAUGAUGAGAUUGGGAUCACGUAUACAUUUGAACAGUAUUACAACUGAUACAUGAAUGUAGUGUCGUAUCAUGAUGUAAAUCUUAUCCUGUUUGAAACUGAUGUAACAAGAUAGCACGUUAGGUUGAUCAAAUUAGUUUAAAUGAUCGCAUAAUUGUUUCUUGGGGGAAGUCUUGGUUUUAAUGGAGGGAAAUCAGUAAACUUGUAGUAAAAGCUAGGAUGACGCAAAAAUUUAAGUUUGGGGGAAAAUAUGAUAUUUUUAAAUUAAAAAUAAAUAAAUAAAUAAUUCAAGAAAAAAAUCCAUAUGAAUAAACACGUUGACUGGUUUAGUUCUGUGUCCUUUGUUACUGGAGUAAGUAAGCCCUUAAGGGUGUCUCUACACCCAGCGCCCUAAAACCAUCUGGUUUGAGAGUCGUUGGUCGAAAGCUCGUUACAUAGGUAAUAUUGAAAUGCCUAAGAGAACUAGACAUUGUACAGUCAAGUGUAAACACGAGAAAGAGCAUAAAUGCCCUCGUGAGCAAAGAAAAGAAGAAAUAAAUCCUGUAUUGACUUUGAAUUGGGUGAUCGAGUAGUUUUAGCUGGAGCUUAACUUGUGAACGGAGUUUUUAAAGUUAAAAUUGUGUUUUUUUUCUCUAAGAAGCAUAUUAUGCGAUGUAUUUGAACUGUAGUUUAUUUUAAUGGUUGCUAAGCACACACACCAUGCAUCAGUAAUAACAGGCUUUGAUUUAUGGAUUGGUAUGGGUUAUUGAAUUGUCUUGUUUGGAUGUGUUGUUUGAAUCUAUUGUUGAUACCUCCGAGGCAUAUUUGUUUGAUUUCGUACUGACUGAUGGUUGGAUUUGUAGGCAUAUAGUUAAGAUGCAUUUUUUAUUUGCAUUGCUUGGGGACAAGCAAUUGGUUAAGUUUGGGGGUAUUUGAUGAGUAGGUUUUAUACCUAUGAAUUCGAUAUUAUUAAACUUAAUUAUUGAUAUCUUUAAGUGUUUAGUAUCUCUUUGUGUUUUUUGUGUUUAUUUCUUGUAGGUUGGAAGGACAAAUUGGUCAUUUGGAAGAAGAAAAAGAUCAAAAAUCAUUAAAAUUAGAGCUGAGUGACAUUUUUGUAAUACGUGGUCCUGACCAAGCUCCUAGUUGCUUGGAUUUUUACUUGGUUGAGCGCCUAGGCGCUCAUGCACGAUCAAAGUUGGAUUUUAAAUGCAAGAUAUAAUAAAUAAUUCAAUAAAAACCAACUUUCAUUCAAUGGGAAGGUUUAAUUUAAACUAUAUACCAAGUUCCGUUGCAAUCUUAAUUAAAAUUUACUUAAUGAUAAUAAAGGAAAACAUUAUGCAAAUUAAUAAUCCAGACAUCCUAGUUAAUUACAAAUAUAAAAUUAGAGAAAAGAUUAGAUGAACUUGUCAGAUUGCUCCUAGUCCUCUACUUGUUCUUUAGCCUCUGCAAUAUCCUUCGUGUUCUCCCCGUUGGUCUCUUUGCAAAUCUCUUAAUAAUCUCCUUCCUGAAGUCUUUUCCUAUUUGUAUUGGUCCCAACCCUCAUCAAGAUUCCUAAUUAGCUUCAAAAACAACUCAGCAGUAGAAAAAUGCCAUUCGGCUCUAAUUUUAAUGAUUUUUGAUCUUUUUCUUCUUUUAAAUGACCAAUUUGUCCCUCCAACUCCAACCUUCAAGAAAUAAACACAAAAACACAUAAAAAGAUACUAAAUACACUUAAAGAUGACAAUAAUUAAGUUUAAUAAUAUCGGAUUCAUAGGUAUAAAGCCUACUCAUCAAAUACCCCAAACUUAAUCAAUUCCUUGUCCCCAAGCAAUGCAAAAAAAAAAGCAUCCUAACUAUAUGCGUACAAAUCCAGCCAUCUGUCAGUACGAAAUCAAACAAAUAUACCUCAGGGGUAUCAACAAUAGAUUCAAACAAUACAUCCAAACAAGACAAUUCAAUAACUCAUACCAAUCCAUAAAUCAAAUCUUGUUAUUACUGAUGCAAGGUGUGUAUGCUUAGCAACCAUUAAAAUCAACUAUAGUUUAAAUAUAUUGCAUAAUAUGCUUCUUAGAGGAAAAGAUACAGUUUUAAGUUAGGAAACUUCGUUCACAAACUAAGCUCCAACUAAAUUUACACAAUAACCAAAUUCAGAGUCAAUACGGUAUUUAUUUCUUCUUUUAUUUGCUCACGAGGGCAUUUAUGAUCUUUCUUGUGUUUACACUUGACUGUGCAAUGUCUAGUUCUAUUAGGCUUUUCAAUGUUAUCCAUGUAACGAGCUUUCGACCAAUGAGUCCAAAACUAGAUGGCUUUAGGGCGCUGAGUGUAGAGACACCCCUAAGGGCUUACUCCAGUAACAAAGGCCACAAAACUAAACUAGUCAACAUGUUUAUUCAUAUGAUUAUUUUUUGUAUUUUCUAUUUUUUUUCUUAUUUAAAAAUCCCAUAUUUUCCCCCAAACUUGAUUUUUUGCGUCAUCCUAACUUUUACUACAAGUUUACCGAUUUUCCUUCAUUAAAACCAAGAUUUCCCGAAGAAGACAAUUUUGCGAUCAUUUAAUCUAAGUUUAUCAAAAUGAUCAACCUAACGUGCUAUCUUGUUACAUCAGUUUCAAACAGGAUAAGAUUUACAUAAUUAUUCGACACUACAUUCAUGUCUCAGUUGUAAUACUGUUCAAAUGUAUACGCGAUCCCAAUCUCAUCAUUGGCCAAGUCAAACUCGCACUAAUUGACAUGUUCGGAUUCAUGCAUUUUUUUUAGAAAUUAGAAUGACAACUACAAAUGAGUUAUGAUAAACGAAUGCAAAUACUAAAUGAAUGCAACUAAAUGAUUGUAAUACAACUAGAAGAAUGCACCCCCAAACUUAACAUAUGCAAUGUCCUCAUUGUAUAUAAAAAAACCCAUAAGAAAUUAGGUAUUGAGGACUUCCUUGAAAGAUCGAAGCCUUACUCCUCGUCAGCAUCCUCUGCUUAUUCUUCAUCAACCUCAUCCUCAGGGGGUAAGUCAUUCGGGGUACACAGACAAGGGUGGAGGUGGUCGGAAUUGGUAAGGACCACCUGCUGGAUUCAUGCGGUUGAACAUCUCUAUGAAUGAUGCAUUAUAGUUCUGAUAUAUCUCCGCUUGUCGUUGAGCCAGUCUAUUCUGCUUCUUAUCCACCCGGUCAAAACCCUGUUCAAUUUGGGUGGCCACCAUGUCAAUCCGUCUAGUUUGAUGUCUCAAUUCUCGACGAAUAUCCUCAAAAAAAUUUGGUGCUGGCACGUAACUCUCAGUUGUAGUAGGAUUGUUUUUUGACUGUUCAUUAGUCUCGUCAACAGGAUCUGGAGGCACAAUAAUGAAACCUAAUCCUCUCGGGUGUGGCUUAACCCCAACCCAUACCUUGUACUUUUUUAUAACCGAGUGGUCAAUUGUGGCUAAAGGAGGUUGUCUUGCUUCCUCGGCUUCCCACUUUACUCCAACUUAUUGACACAGUCCAGUAAUCAAAAAUGGAUGAGACAGUCCACCUGAAGUCCCUCCUUGAAUUGUUCUGUCGAUUGAAUCAUGUAUAACCUGACCCACAUCUAUAGUUUUUCCUUUUGAAAUGUAGAAAAGCAACGCUGCCCGUUGAUUUAUGACAUCACUCAUAGGCCUACACGACAUCAACUUGGCACAAAUAAAGACAUGCCAUGCUUUCCCGUAACUACUCGGUGCGGAUGCAGGAAUAAGAACUGCUUCUUGCUGAUUCGGUAAUUUUCAUUUUGUUUCAGGUACACACAAUGCUUGAAUGAUCACACUAGCACUUGUGAAUCUCUUUUUGUCAAACUUUGUUGAAGUGAGGAAAGGAAGUAUGAGUUUCACGUGGUGUACGAAGAGAAAAGAGAGGAGUUUUAGAUGAACUAGGAGAGAAAAUAGAGUUUGAUUUGGGUUGAAAGGAGUGAUGCCCGGUUAAGGCUUAAUUUUUUUUUUUAAAGUCUGGGCAGGAGUGCCUAGGCACUUGAUUUUGUAUGGGAUUGACCGCCUAGGCGCUUGAUGACAGAACGUGUUGGUCAAGUAUAGCGACUAGGCGCUUGGAAUGGGCAUGGAGUGAGUGCUUAGACGCUUGGGGAUUGCUGAGUGUUCUGCAUUUGAACACCUAGGCGCUUGUGCCUGACUUGGUGGAUUUUGUGCGUCUUCCAUGCUUCAAACCUGCAUAUCAAAGCUUCAAUUCUCAGUUUUUAGAUUACGAGUUAUACUAAAACCCUAAACUAAGAUAAAAUAUGAUUAAUUUCUUUUAUUUUAGUAUGUUAGUUUAGUUAACUAUAUAUUUUAUCUUAGUUUAGGGUUUGAGUAUAAGUUGUAAUCUCCUUGCAAACAAAAACUGAGAAUUGAAGCUUUGAUAUGUAGGUUGGAAGCAUGGAAGACACAAAUUGAGAAUUGAAGCUUUGAUAUGUAGGUUGGAAACAUGGAAGACGUACAAAAUCCACCAAGUCAGUCCCAAGCGCUUAGGCGCCCAAACCAUGCACAAAACAAGCGACUAGGCGCUCAAAUGCAGAACACUCAACAUUCCCUAAACGCCUAGGCGCUACACUUGACUAACACGUUCUGUCUUCAAGCCCCUAGGCGGUCAAUCCCAUUUAAAAUCAAGCGCCAAGCUCCUGCUAAGACUUUGAAAAAAAAUUUAAGCCCUAAUCGAGCAUCACUCCUUUCAACCCAAAUCAAACUAUUUUCUCUCCUAGUUCAUCUAAAACUCCUCUAUUUUCUCUUCCUACACCACGUGAAACUCAUACUUCCCUUUCUUCACUGUUAAUGCGUCCGAAAGGUAUCAGAAUUGGCUUUCUGGUAAAACGCUAAUUCCUGAGCGUGGAUUAUUGCCAGAGGCAGAAGAUGGGGAGUUGCUACAAAUGAUUGGAAGCAAAGAUGGGUG